GGUGACAUGGCCGAGCGGUCUAAGGCGCCAGAAUCAGGUGUCUUCUUCCUCACGGAAGAGUUCCUUAUCUGGUCUUUCGGGGCGGGAGUUCGAAUCUCCCUGUCAUCA